GUGGCCAGCCGCCGCGGUAAUACCGGCAGCUCGAGUGAUGGCCGAUUUUAUUGGGCCUAAAGCGUCCGUAGCCGGCCCUGCAAGUUCAUCGGGAAAUCCGCCAGCCCAACUGGCGGGCGUCCGGUGAAACCUGCAAGGCUUGGGACCGGAAGACCCGACGGGUACGUCCAGGGUAGGAGUGAAAUCCCGUAAUCCUGGACGGACCGCCGAUGGCGAAAGCACUUCGGGAAGACGGAUCCGACGGUGAGGAACGAAAGCCAGGGUCUCGAACCGGAUUAGAAACCCCGGUAGUCC
rnacentral:rRNA from 1 species